rnacentral:rRNA from 1 species
UGAGGAAUAUUGGUCAAUGGGCGCGAGCCUGAACCAGCCAAGUAGCGUGAAGGAUGAAGGUCCUAUGGAUUGUAAACUUCUUUUAUACGGGAAUAAAGUGGUCCACGUGUGGGCUUUUGCAUGUACCGUAUGAAUAAGCAUCGGCUAACUCCGUGCCAGCAGCCGCGGUAAUACGGAGGAUGCGAGCGUUAUCCGGAUUUAUUGGGUUUAAAGGGAGCGCAGACGGGGGAUUAAGUCAGUUGUGAAAGUUUGCGGCUCAACCGUAAAAUUGCAGUUGAUACUGGUUCCCUUGAGUGCAGUUGAGGCAGGCGGAAUUCGUGGUGUAGCGGUGAAAUGCAUAGAUAUCACGAAGAACCCCGAUUGCGAAGGCAGCCUGCUAAGCUGUAACUGACGUUGAGGCUCGAAAGUGUGGGUAUCAAACAGGAUUAGAUACCCUGGUAGUCCACACGGUAAACGAUGGAUACUCGCUGUUGGCGAUAUACUGUCAGCGGCCAAGCGAAAGCAUUAAGUAUCCCACCUGGGGAGUACGCCGGCAACGGUGAAACUCAAAGGAAUUGACGGGGGCCCGCACAAGCGGAGGAACAUGUGGUUUAAUUCGAUGAUACGCGAGGAACCUUACCCGGGCUUAAAUUGCAGACGAAUUACCUGGAAACAGGUAAGCCGCAAGGCGUCUGUGAAGGUGCUGCAUGGUUGUCGUCAGCUCGUGCCGUGAGGUGUCGGCUUAAGUGCCAUAACGAGCGCAACCCUCGUGGCCAGUUACUAGCAGGUAAUGCUGAGGACUCUGGCCAGACUGCCAUCGUAAGAUGCGAGGAAGGUGGGGAUGACGUCAAAUCAGCACGGCCCUUACGUCCGGGGCUACACACGUGUUACAAUGGGAGGUACAGAAGGCAGCUACCCGGCGACGGGAUGCCAAUCUCCAAAGCCUCUCUCAGUUCGGACUGGAGUCUGCAACCCGACUCCACGAAGCUGGAUUCGCUAGUAAUCGCGCAUCAGCCACGGCGCGGUGAAUACGUUCCC